rnacentral:rRNA from 1 species
CAGGCUCUUCUAGCGUAUAUCGAAGUUGAUGCAGUUAAAAAGCUCGUAGUCGGAGUUGUUCGGAUAGAGGAUAAAAUGACUUUGUGAAGGAAACUUCACAAGGUGACUCUUCCGAUUCAUUGGAUUAUGAAAGUGYGUUGGUUCGCCAGYRAUUACUUCUCUUCCACAUUUACUUUGAGGAAAUUAGAGUGUUUAUAGCAGUCGUCUUGACUGAAUAGUUUAGCAUGGGAUAAUAGAAUAUGGCAAUAUGUCUUUUCUAUGGUUCUUAAAGGCAAUUCAAAUUUUGCAAUGAUUAAUGGGAUGUGGAUGGGGCUGCCAGUAUUGCUGAGCUAGAGGUGAAAUUCUAUGAUUUCAGCAGGACUAACAAAUGCGAAAGCAUCCAGCCAGUACAUGUCCGUCGAUCAAGAACGAAGGGAGUGGUAUCGAAGAUGAUCAGAUACCGUCGUAGUCACUCCAGUAAACGAUGAUAACUCAGGGUAAGGGAGAUGUAAAUUUAAAACUUGCACUUCUUUGAACUGUAUGAGAAAUCAAAGUAUCUAUAUUUCCGGGGGGAGUAUGGCCGCAAGACUGAAACUUAAAGGAAUUGACGGAAGGGCACCACAAGGCGUGGAACCUGCGGCUUAAUUUGACUCAACACGGGAAAACUUACCAGGUCCAGACAUAGUAAGGAUUGACAGGUUGAAAGAUCUUUCUUGAUUCUGUGGGUGGUGGUGCAUGGCCGUUCUUAGUUGGUGGAAUGAUUUGUCUGUUUAAUUACGAUAACGAACGAGAUGAUCAUGGAAAAAUAGGAUGAUUAAUCGAAAGAUUGRUACACUUCCUUCUCUUCCAGAUUAAUGGAUUAAAGCCAUUUGAAAUGAUCGCAAUAACAGGUCUGUGAUGCCCUUAGAUGUUCUGGGCUGCACGCGCGUUACAAUGGUGAUGUCAAUGAGUUUUGAGUGGAUUUACUUYAUUCUUGUGCUUUCUCGAAAGGGAUGGCUAAUCUUAUAUAAACAUCACCGUGCUGGGGAUAGAUGGUUGUAAUUAUCCGUCUUGAACCAGGAAUGCCUAGUAAUCGCAUGUCAUCAGCAUGCGAUGAUUACGUCCCUGCCCUUUGUACACACCGCCCGUCGCUCCUACCGAUUGGAUUGUCCGGUGAGAAUGGAGGAUUUUGGUAUUUUAUGAGCAAUCAUGGAGUAUUGGGAGAAUCCAUUCAAAUCUUAUAAUCUAGAGGAAGGAGAAGUCGUAACAAGGUCUCCGUAGGUG